rnacentral:rRNA from 1 species
GAUGAACGCUGGCGGCGUGCCUAAUACAUGCAAGUCGAGCGAAUGGAUUAAGAGCUUGCUCUUAUGAAGUUAGCGGCGGACGGGUGAGUAACACGUGGGUAACCUGCCCAUAAGACUGGGAUAACUCCGGGAAACCGGGGCUAAUACCGGAUAACAUUUUGAACCGCAUGGUUCGAAAUUGAAAGGCGGCUUCGGCUGUCACUUAUGGAUGGACCCGCGUCGCAUUAGCUAGUUGGUGAGGUAACGGCUCACCAAGGCAACGAUGCGUAGCCGACCUGAGAGGGUGAUCGGCCACCAUGUGACUGCGACACGGCCCAGACUCCUACGGGAGGCAGCAGUAGGGAAUCUUCCGCAAUGGACGAAAGUCUGACGGAGCAACGCCGCGUGAGUGAUGAAGGCUUUCGGGUCGUAAAACUCUGUUGUUAGGGAAGAACAAGUGCUAGUUGAAUAAGCUGGCACCUUGACGGUACCUAACCAGAAAGCCACGGCUAACUACGUGCCAGCCGCCGCCGUAA